GUGGUGGUGGCGGUGGUGUGUGUGCACACAGAGCUCCCCUGCAGAGGACAUGGCCAGGGCUGUUGGCUGUGGUGCCUCCUGGGCUGCGUGUCUAUCUGGUGGAGCAGCAAGUGCUGGAGAUGUCCCUGCUGGCUGUGGGCUGUGCAGACAGCACCGACGCCAC